GACGGGGGGGCAAGGUGUUCUUCGGAAUGACUGGGCGUAAAGGGCACGUAGGCGGUGAAUCGGGUUGAAAGUGAAAGUCGCCAAAAAGUGGCGGAAUGCUCUCGAAACCAAUUCACUUGGAGUAGACAGAGGAGAGUGGAAUUUCGUGUGUAGGGGUGAAAUCCGUAGAUCGUACGAAGGAACGCCAAAAGCGAAGGCGAGCUCUCAUGGGUCCCUACCGACGCUGGG
rnacentral:rRNA from 1 species